rnacentral:ncRNA from 1 species
GACGACAAAGGCAAACCCGUCGUGAGGCGGGCGCGCAAAGCCACAGGUCUCGACGGCAUGUCUGACGGUCGAGACGGCUGGGUUACCGAAU